UACAGAGGGGGCAAGCGUUAUUCGGAAUUAUUGGGCGUAAAGGGCGCGUAGGCGGCCUGGCAAGUGGAAGGUGAAAUCCCUCGGCUUAACCGAGGAAGUGCACCCGAAACUGGGUAGCUAGAGUGCAAAAGAGGGUCGCGGAAUUCCCGGUGUAGAGGUGAAAUUCGUAGAUAUCGGGAGGAACACCGGUGGCGAAGGCGGCGACCUGGGUUGACACUGACGCUGAGGCGCGAAAGCGUGGGGAGCAAACAGG
rnacentral:rRNA from 1 species